rnacentral:misc_RNA from 1 species
GAUGAAGAACGUAGCGAAAUGCGAUACGUAGUGUGAAUUGCGGAAUUCAGUGAAUCAUCGAAUCUUUGAACGCACAUUGCACCUCUCGGUAUUCCGGGAGGUAUGCCUGUUCGAGCGUCAUUUGUACCCUCAAGCUCUGCUUGGUGUUGGGUGUUUGUUCCGCCUCUGUGUGUGAACUCGCCUCAAAACAAUUGGCAGCCGGCGUACUUGUUUCGGAGCGCAGCACAUUUUGCGAUCCAGAUCGACGUACAGCGGCAUCCAAGAAGCCUUAUUUAACGCUCUUGACCUCGGAUCAGGUAGGGAUACCCGCUGAACUUAAGCAUAUCAAUAAGCGGAGGA